UGUGUUAUUCUGUGCCAGAAAAUUUUCUCCACAAUGAUGCUGCUAACAUUCCUUUUUCUCAAAUACACACGCGUGCAUGUUUAGAACAUUCCUUUUUCUCAAAUACACACGCGUGCAUGUUUAACAAGGUGGUUUGUGUUCACACGCCUGCUCCAUACAUUUUUGCCAUGUUUGCAUGGCACAUGCGGCAUGUGCCCAUUGUUGUGUUGGGUCGGGUCUUUUGCUUCUAGAUAGAGCUCCAUUAGAGCUAGCCUAUACAAAAGGAUUGGCUCUAAUCCCUAUCUAUCCAAACAUGCCAUUAGGGAAGGUUUGGAAGAGGGGAUUUGCUUUGGGCUUUUCAUAUGUAGUUUUCUCUCGAAACAGGCUUGGUCCCCGCUUUAUAUAUAAAUCACAAACGGCCGAAUCAUACAAGCUGAUGAGGAAAUCCUGUUGCAAAUCAGGUCAAAAUAAAAAACGACAUUCAGGAAAGUAGCGAGAAUGCCACCAGCUCAAAGCCGAGCAAGAGAACAGGAGUAGCCAGACCCAACACUAGGCAACCGAGACUACCAACCUGGGUUGAAGCCGCGCCUCACUGCACCGCCAAGCUAUGUCCGGAGAGGUCCGCCUGCCCUCUUGCUCCAGGCCGCAGAGCGCCGAUCCUGCCAAUGGACAGUGAGGACCGAGAAUGGUGACAACGAGGUCAUGUGUAAAAGGUAGGAGGCCAACGAGGCCACCCCACGCCACAAUCGAAGAAGCUUCACACCAGGAUCAAAGCAUGCUUGAAUACGCCGACGAGCCGCGACGGUUAGGUACCUGAGCUUCUAGGAAGACACUUGCAAGAGGGAGACGACACAACGCACCGCAGUCGCUGAGCCUAAGAAGACAUACACGGGUUUUCGCCCGGAGCCCUGACAUGGAGAGGGGACCCACAACGAUGCCCCCAAGAGGGAUACGAUACUCGUAGGCAUCACCGGCGACGGAGCGCGGAGCUUUCGCUCUGAGCCUCAUCCGUGACACAAGGGGUACCAAGGUCGCCACCCAACCCGAGGGGAGAACUGCUUCGAGGCCUCUAGACCAAGACCGGAGGCCGCCACUGCCAAAGCCAUGACAACACCAGGAUCACCCGCCACCACUCCCCUCGCUUGCUCGCCGUAAAGCCAUCCACGCAGCCUCGCCUUCCGGGGCCGCUGCUCUGGCAUCCAAGGAUCCACAUCACCCCACCAACCUGACAUCCAGACGACACCCACCCGAGCAGCAACAAGGGUCUCCAUCCAACCGUAGAUCACGCCACCUACUGGACCUGCAACACCUCUGCAGCGCCCAAAUCUGGGCUGAAACGGCCAAACAGCGGCACACAAGUGGACGGACGGUGAUCGCAGCCCGCCUGGCUGCAGUCACCACACCCAAAUCCUCUCCUACAUGCCCCCAGACCCGACACGCAGCCAGGCCGGGGCACUGCCGCAGCCGGAGCCUGCCCACGGCCAUAGAGCGCGAGAGAACGAGAGAUCGCAGCCCUCUAGCCCAUGGCCCCGACCUCCAGGGACAUCACCAUACCGUGGUGAAGGGAGCCAAGCGCCGGAGGUGCCACAAGGUCGCCCCGACAGGGAGGGAGACCGGAGGGUGCCGAGGUGGCGAGCUCCUCACCCGGGAGGGCCGGAUGUGGGCCUCUGCCUACCAGAUCUGGGGAAGAGGCGCCAAAGGAUGCACUGUGCAGUGCUGGAGGAGGCUUCAUGCAACACCGGGCAGCCAAACUUGACGAGGACGGGAUCCACAUGGGGGAAGAUAGGGAAGGAAACAGAGCCUCGGGGAGGGGCGCGAAUUGGGACCAGGAGGCGGCGGCGGGUCGCCACCUGUGACGCCCUAGGAAGGUGACGCGGGGGCAGGAGAUCCGUGUUUGUUCUGUUUCCAGAUGUAGUUAAAGGGAACAAAUUGUCAACAAUCAUUGUGCUAUUGGAGAUAAUGUGUUGUUGGAAUUUUGCCACAGGAUCGAUCACAUCAAAUCACGAUCAACACACGCGCACAGAAAACUUUGGCCAAAGGCACGUGUCGUGCCUUUCUUUUCCCUCUUUUUAUUUUCUGUUUUUCUUACACCGUGUUACAAAACUCACGCAGCCGGACCUGUAUAUAUAUACAGAACCAACCGACCUAAACACAACUCCAAGACCCACACGGCAAGUGCAACAUCUUGGCGGACACUUAUUACUAAACGGACUAGUACUAUUCAUCUGGACACUAAUUUCCUACACACAAACGUACUAGACCCUGUCCUACACGGAUAUGAACCAAACUCAAACUAAUACUGCCAUGUGACGUGCAAGCCAGCCGGGUUGAUCAUGUAACCAACAUGCUACUUGACAAACAAUACUAACUCAAGAUUAUCUCUAACAUUCUCUCCCUAAUCUUGACUCUUGUCUUCCGUGCUUCUCCAGUCUUGACUCGUCGACGAUUCAUCCCUUGUCGACUCAUCCGCUCGCACCACGACAAGUCAAAUUGUUGGCUUGGUUGCUUGCAACAAUCUCCCCUCCAAUUUUGACUUGGCGAAUUUACGGACCACCUCAAAUAUGCCUUGGACUACCCACCUCGCUAGUAACAUGUGGAAAACACCACCCGGUAGACUACACCAUCCACCCUAGCAAGAUACAUGCCGACUCCUUGUGGAUCACACCACCCCGUGGACUACACCGCCCACUCCAGCCUCAUGUAGAGACAUGGCCUCAUUGAAGAGACUCACCUUCACUGGUUUACCGCCCCCACAUACUUGAACUUGGUCCUCUCGUCGAGACACAUAGACGACCUGGAUGCGCUUCAUCUUCAACGCCUUCUCGCAGAGACAAGCACUUGGGCAUGACGACGACGACGACUGACCAACGCAACGACGACUAACCGUGCAAACUCGCAGGAUUCCUUGACUCAUCCGACUCCCCCGGACGAUGAUCUUGAUGAGCUCCAGCGCCGCACCUCAGCACCACCUCCCCCAUCAACGAUCUUCUUCCACCGCCUUGCCGACGACAGCCUGCCGUCUCCCUCCUUGUCGCUCCGCCGAACGACGAUCACCUGAUCCUCCUCAUCCGUCGCUCCAUACCGCGACUAUAUUGCCCGCCCCGGGGCGCUAGUAGAUCGCCACCCCGGGGCAAGCGCAGCUUCACUCGAACCUUGCUCUAGAUACCAAUUGUUGGAAUUUUGCCACAGGAUCGAUCACAUCAAAUCACGAUCAACACACGCGCACAGAAAACUUUGGCCAAAGGCACGUGUCGUGCCUUUCUUUUCCCUCUUUUUAUUUUCUGUUUUUCUUACACCGUGUUACAAAACUCACGCAGUCGGACCUGUAUAUAUAUACAGAACCAACCGACCUAAACACAACUCCAAGACCCACACGGCAAGUGCAACAUCUUGGCGGACACUUAUUACUAAACGGACUAGUACUAUUCAUCUGGACACUAAUUUCCUACACACAAACGUACUAGACCCUGUCCUACACGGACAUGAACCAAACUCAAACUAAUACUGCCAUGUGACGUGCAAGCCAGCCGUGUUGAUCACGUAACUAAUCACGUAACCAACAUGCUACUUGACAAACAAUACUAACUCAAGAUUAUCUCUAACAUGUGUGAGGACAGUAAAUAUUUGCAUACGCUCGUCAAAUUUAUGUUACUUACUGCAAACUGAAAAAAACCUUGUUGUGGCAAAUGUAAUAUGGACCAAAGCAAAUGAGCUUCUGUUUUUUUCUAAACUUUUGUGAUAUAUCAAUGUUAGGGAGUAACUUCCCGACAGUGUAGUUGCCAUCAAUGUUAGAGAGAAUGUUCUAUAAGACUUGCUUAUUGUCUCUUUUGCCUAGGUAA
rnacentral:lncRNA from 1 species